UACAGAGGGUGCAAGCGUUAAUCGGAGUUACUGGGCGUAAAGGGCGCGUAGGCGGUUAAAUAAGUGAGAUGUGAAAUCCCUGGGCUUAACCUAGGAACUGCAUCUUAUACUGUUUAACUGGAGUAUUGUAGAGGGUAGUGGAAUUUCCGGUGUAGCGGUGAAAUGCGUAGAGAUCGGAAGGAACACCAGUGGCGAAGGCGGCUACCUGGACAAAUACUGACGCUGAGGCGCGAAAGCGUGGGGAUCAAACAGG
rnacentral:rRNA from 1 species